rnacentral:rRNA from 1 species
AGAAUCAACGCUGGCGGCGUGCCUAACACAUGCAAGUCGCACGAGAAAGGGGAGCAAUCCAUGAGUAAAGUGGCGCACGGGUGAGUAACACGUGACUAACCUACCCUUGAGUGGGGGAUAACCUAGAGAAAUCUGGGCUAAUACCGGCAUAAUACCUUCGGGUCAAAGGAGCAAUUCGCUUAAGGAGGGGGUCGCGGCCGAUUAGUUAGUUGGCGGGGUAAUGGCCCACCAAGACUAUGAUCGGUA